UCUAGUCUCUCCACCAUGGCCAUGUGUUACUAAUUCUGAAGAUACGAGCAAAACAGUAAACAUCAUAUAGGAAAGAGCAUGGACUUUGGAGUCUGACAGCCAGUUCUGCCAUGAGUUACCUAGGGUGUCCUUGGACACUGCUGUAAUCUCGAGGAACCUAGCCCUUCCUGUCUGUAAAAUGAGGAAGCGGGAAAGAUAACUGUUAGGGUAAUUCUGAAAUUUCCAAAACAAAAUAUAUGGAUACACUAGUACAAGCCUCUAAAGGGCUCUCCCACAACUUAUGGGGAGUAUUCUCCAGGGCAAAUUUUUACUGUGGUUCUAUAGAGCCUCACUUUCUUCUUCCUACUUCCUCUUUACAAAGCCAGAAGGGGUCAACAAUCUCUAUCUUCAGCAAAGGAGAGAAGGAAUAAAAAAGAGUCAUGACACUAAGGGUUAGGCUCCUGGAUUAAUUAAUAUGAAAGAAUAAAAGAGGAAAAAAAAAGAAUUUCCGUAAGUCAGGUGAAGAAACAAAGAAACUUGCCACACUGGAUUUCUACCUAAGUUUAAGAGUGAAAUGGGAGCACUAUACAGGCAUACCUCUACGUCUCUGUGCUUCACAGUGGUCUGGAAUUGGAGCCCCAAUAUCUCCAAGGUCUGCCAGUGUGAGGCGUAAGAGGCAACCCUGUGAACUGGAAGAGUACCUAGAGAAAAUGACGCCAGAGUGCUCAGAGAGGCCUCAGAGUCUCUGUGAAAACAGACAUGGCAGACCAAGAACUGGAAACAACACCACAGAUAUUCACAUCUACAAACGCUCAGCCUUAGAAAUAGCAAGGUGUCUGAUCACCAUGGGAGACCCGACAUCCCCAAGUCUAUUGAGAUGUUAUUGACACACAGCCCUGUGUAAGUUUCAGGUGUACGGCAUAAUGGUAUGACUGACAUACAUCGGGAAGCAGUUA